rnacentral:rRNA from 1 species
GGGUUGUGAGGUUAAGCGACUAAGCGUACACGGUGGAUGCCUAGGCAGUCAGAGGCGAUGAAGGGCGUGCUAAUCUGCGAAAAGCGUCGGUAAGCUGAUAUGAAGCGUUAUAACCGACGAUACCCGAAUGGGGAAACCCAGUGCAAUUCGUUGCACUAUUGCAUGGUGAAUACAUAGCCAUGCAAGGCGAACCGGGGGAACUGAAACAUCUAAGUACCCCGAGGAAAAGAAAUCAACCGAGAUUCCCCCAGUAGCGGCGAGCGAACGGGGAAGAGCCCAGAGUCUGAAUCAGUUUGUGUGUUAGUGGAAGCGUCUGGAAAGUCGCACGGUACAGGGUGAUAGUCCCGUACACCAAAACACACUUGCUGUGAACUCGAUGAGUAGGGCGGGACACGUGACAUCCUGUCUGAAUAUGGGGGGACCAUCCUCCAAGGCUAAAUACUCCUGACUGACCGAUAGUGAACCAGUACCGUGAGGGAAAGGCGAAAAGAACCCCGGCGAGGGGAGUGAAAUAGAACCUGAAACCGUGUACGUACAAGCAGUGGGAGCCUACUUUGUUGGGUGACUGCGUACCUUUUGUAUAAUGGGUCAGCGACUUAUAUUUUGUAGCAAGGUUAACCGAAUAGGGGAGCCGUAGGGAAACCGAGUCUUAACUGGGCGUCUAGUUGCAAGGUAUAGACCCGAAACCCGGUGAUCUAGCCAUGGGCAGGUUGAAGGUUGGGUAACACUAACUGGAGGACCGAACCGACUAAUGUUGAAAAAUUAGCGGAUGACUUGUGGCUGGGGGUGAAAGGCCAAUCAAACCGGGAGAUAGCUGGUUCUCCCCGAAAGCUAUUUAGGUAGCGCCUCGUGAACUCAUCUUCGGGGGUAGAGCACUGUUUCGGCUAGGGGGUCAUCCCGACUUACCAAACCGAUGCAAACUCCGAAUACCGAAGAAUGUUAUCACGGGAGACACACGGCGGGUGCUAACGUCCGUCGUGAAGAGGGAAACAACCCAGACCGCCAGCUAAGGUCCCAAAGUCAUGGUUAAGUGGGAAACGAUGUGGGAAGGCAUAGACAGCCAGGAUGUUGGCUUAGAAGCAGCCAUCAUUUAAAGAAAGCGUAAUAGCUCACUGGUCGAGUCGGCCUGCGCGGAAGAUGUAACGGGGCUAAACCAUGCACCGAAGCUGCGGCAGCGACACUUAGGUGUUGUUGGGUAGGGGAGCGUUCUGUAAGCCGUUGAAGGUGACCUGUGAGGGUUGCUGGAGGUAUCAGAAGUGCGAAUGCUGACAUAAGUAACGAUAAUGCGGGUGAAAAACCCGCACGCCGGAAGACCAAGGGUUCCUGUCCAACGUUAAUCGGGGCAGGGUGAGUCGACCCCUAAGGCGAGGCUGAAAAGCGUAGUCGAUGGGAAACAGGUUAAUAUUCCUGUACUUGGUGUUACUGCGAAGGGGGGACGGAGAAGGCUAGGCUAGCCGGGCGACGGUUGUCCCGGUUUAAGCAUGUAGGCGGAGCGACUUGGUAAAUCCGGUUGCUUAUCAACGCUGAGGUGUGAUGACGAGCCACUACGGUGGUGAAGUAGUUGAUGCCAAGCUUCCAGGAAAAGCCUCUAAGCAUCAGGUAACAUUAAAUCGUACCCCAAACCGACACAGGUGGUCAGGUAGAGAAUACUCAGGCGCUUGAGAGAACUCGGGUGAAGGAACUAGGCAAAAUGGUGCCGUAACUUCGGGAGAAGGCACGCUGGCAUUAGGUAAUGGGACUUGCUCCCGGCGCCGAAGCCAGUCGCAGAUACCAGCUGGCUGCAACUGUUUAAUAAAAACACAGCACUGUGCAAACACGAAAGUGGACGUAUACGGUGUGACGCCUGCCCGGUGCUGGAAGGUUAAUUGAUGGGGUCAGCCGCAAGGCGAAGCUCUUGAUCGAAGCCCCAGUAAACGGCGGCCGUAACUAUAACGGUCCUAAGGUAGCGAAAUUCCUUGUCGGGUAAGUUCCGACCUGCACGAAUGGCGUAAUGAUGGCCAGGCUGUCUCCACCCGAGACUCAGUGAAAUUGAACUCGCUGUGAAGAUGCAGUGUACCCGCGGCAAGACGGAAAGACCCCGUGAACCUUUACUAUAGCUUGACACUGAACAUUGAGCCUUGAUGUGUAGGAUAGGUGGGAGGCAUUGAAGUGUGGACGCCAGUCUGCAUGGAGCCAACCUUGAAAUACCACCCUUUAAUGUUUGAUGUUCUAACUCGGCCCCGUGAUCCGGGGUGAGGACAGUGUCUGGUGGGUAGUUUGACUGGGGCGGUCUCCUCCCAAAGAGUAACGGAGGAGCACGAAGGUUAGCUAAUCACGGUCGGACAUCGUGAGGUUAGUGCAAAGGCAUAAGCUAGCUUGACUGCGAGAGUGACGGCUCGAGCAGGUACGAAAGUAGGUCUUAGUGAUCCGGUGGUUCUGAAUGGAAGGGCCAUCGCUCAACGGAUAAAAGGUACUCCGGGGAUAACAGGCUGAUACCGCCCAAGAGUUCAUAUCGACGGCGGUGUUUGGCACCUCGAUGUCGGCUCAUCACAUCCUGGGGCUGAAGUAGGUCCCAAGGGUAUGGCUGUUCGCCAUUUAAAGUGGUACGCGAGCUGGGUUUAGAACGUCGUGAGACAGUUCGGUCCCUAUCUGCCGUGGGCGUUGGAAGAUUGAGAGGGGCUGCUCCUAGUACGAGAGGACCGGAGUGGACGAAUCACUGGUGUUCGGGUUGUCAUGCCAAUGGCAUUGCCCGGUAGCUAAAUUCGGAAGAGAUAACCGCUGAAAGCAUCUAAGCGGGAAACUUGCCUCGAGAUGAGUCUUCCCUGGGGCUUUAAGCCCCCUGAAGGAACGUUAAAGACUAUGACGUUGAUAGGCUGGGUGUGUAAGUGCAGCGAUGCAUUGAGCUAACCAGUACUAAUGAUCCGUGAGGCUUAACCUUACAACACCAAAGGUGUUUUAG